GUUCCACUUGCUAAUUCGAAGCUUCACAAGGAUGGAUAUGAAUAAUCCCCCUCUUUCAUAUAAUGACACGCGCUCCACCGGGCGUUUAAGUACCACCCGUGUUCAAAAUCCUAAACCAAUUCUGUGCAUUGGAUCUCCCAUCCGACGGUGACAAAUGCCCACAGCAGUACAAUGCGGUACGAUCAGGCUUCUCCUUGCGUCGCUGCACAUCCCAGGGCACGCACUAUCGAGCCCUGUUUUCCGAUCUUCGAGAUCGCGUCUUCCUUUUCGCUCUCGCCUCCCACUUUAGGGUUUCGGCUGCGGGCGACUGCGCCCCCAUCCAUCGGCGAAGUCCACCCAUCGGACAUAGGCAAGAGCCCGCGCCAGUCCCCGGUGAGGGUUUUCUCGAACCCUCCACCUCCUCCCGCCUCUCCCUUUCAGUCUCCAUCCCUAGGCCAUCGGUAGGCUGCUAAGUUGGGGCAGCUAAUGAAGUCAAGUUUAACUGGGUUGAUGUUGCUGAUCUCUAGGCCAUCGGUAGACUACGUAGUUGGGGCAGCUAAUGAGGAUUAUAAGACAUCAAGUUCUUCCCUAUGUAUGGUUAGCAGGAACUCUUCUGUUUUUCUUCAGAGUUUGCAGAACUCGAUACUCAAAUUGCGACAUUUCAGGGUGAAACCUUGACGGAUGUUGUGCCAUGCCCUAGUGUUGGAGGUUCGGAUCAUGGGGAUGCUUAUCAUGUUAGUGCUGUCUCAGCACCUAAUCUACGGCGGCUGGCAAUUUUGGCAUGUUAAAACUUCAUUGAGGUAACUUUUGAAGCCUUACAAAGUUUUAUGCCUAUGGUCUGAUCACAGCAAGGACUAUAACCGCGAUGAUUAUGAGAAGGAUGAUUGUUGCUAUACACAUACAUUUGCGGGAGUUCUUCUGUAAUAUCUUUGCCUUGCUUAGAGCAUUAACUCCAGAGCUAACAAAGACACCAGCACGGUUAACCUGCACAAAAGACAUUGUAAUUGUACUGUUAUAAUUUCAUAAUCACUUGUAGAGAAGACGUCGGACUCUUACCUGGUCCUCAAUGUUAUCAAGCAUUUCACCUUGUGCCUCAAUCAACACUGCCAUGUCCAGGAAUAUCUGAUGAUGAAAUUAGAAAUAAAAUAAUGAAUUCUGAUACACUCCAUCAGUUGCAAGGAUGAGCAAAGCAAAGGAGAUCGGAAGAUCAUGGCCUUCUUGAAAGAUGCAACAUAUGCCCCUUAGUUUAUGUGAAAGUUUAUCUUUUAGUCCUCACAAAGUUGCUAAAUUUCAUCCAGAAAUUUCUUUCAUGUUUACCAAGCAGAUUUUAGAAGGAAGGAAGUUGUAUUAUGUGCAAAAGAGAAUGAAAAUCAUCUCUGGACAUAGCCACAUUGACCAAGAAUGGCAAUUCUUUGGAUAUUAAGUAACAAGUCUUUACUCUGAUGCUACAAUGAUGCAGUUUGUUGAACUCUCACACACACAUCACUGCUGUUUGUUGUGCAAAUUGCAUUCUUUUUAUCUUCAAAAUAUAUGCUUUCGGAAUUCUGUUCUUUCUCCAUCUCCAUGCACCAGAUUCUCCUCUCUCUUUGACUUGAUGUAAAGCAAGUGAUGCUGGACACAGUAUGUCCAUGGAGCAUACAGCGGGAUUAUCAUUGUGGAAGCAUACAGCGGGAAUUAUCAGACUUGUGAAAGUGAUGCUGCACACAGAGACGCAUUUAAACUUUUAUGAAGUGUGUUGCUGUUGAAAAAGAUUCAUGAGAGAAAAGCUAGAGAUGGAUUGAAGAAUUAAUCUUACACAAUUGCGGGAGUAAAGAGUUAGCUUACUCAGCAUCAUUAUGGUAUUAAAUUAUAAACUAUUUUGUAGAUUUCUGCAAGUGAAAGUACCUGCUGCAACUCAAGAAGCUUCUUUUCUAUGUCUCUCACUGCAUCAUGGCGCUCUUGGAUUUCCGCAAGUGUGUCCAGUACCUGCAAAU